GGAAGGUCCUGGCGUUAUCCGGAUUUAUUGGGUUUAAAGGGAGCGCAGGCCGCCCCUUAAGCGUGUUGUGAAAACCGGGCGCCCAACGCCCGGCGUGCAGCGCGAACUGGGGGGCUUGAGUGCGCGCGACGCCGGCGGAAUUCGUCGUGUAGCGGUGAAAUGCUUAGAUAUGACGAGGAACCCCGAUUGCGAAGGCAGCCGGCGAGGGCGCAACUGACGCUGAUGCUCGAAGGCGCGGGUAUCGAACAGGAUUAGAUACCCUGGUAGUCCGCGCUGUAAACGAUGGAUGCCCGCCGCCGGCACCUGGUGUCGGCGGCCAAGCGAAAGCGUUAAGCAUCCCACCUGGGGAGUACGCCSGSMACGGUG
rnacentral:rRNA from 1 species